GGUGUUCGGGACAGCAGGCGGCUGUUUCAGGACAGAUUAACAGCAGAAGACGGAGGCGUUAUGGUGUUUUCGGUAGGCCGUUGUUGUGGUAGACGUACCAGUUAAGACGACAGGGGUGACCGGUGAUAAACACUUGCUUUCUGGGGCUGUUAGUGGUGAUUAAAGCAGGAGAAAAAAGGGUUGUUCGGGACUGUUAUGCAGCAGAAGAUGAAGUCCAGAAGGGUGUUCGUGUCAGUCGUUGUCGCGGGUGAUGUACCGGUUAGGAUGACGGGGUGACGGGUGAACACCUGUGUUUUUCGUGGCUGUUAGUCGUGAUCGAACAAGCUAUAAAAAAGGGUUGUGAUGUUAUUUUUAUCACAGAUUUUGCAAGUACCUUGAUUGGUUGUUCGUGAUAAGAGGAGACCGGCGUGUUGCGUGAUAAAUGGGCGUAAAAGAUCCGUCAAAGCAGGUGGCUUUGGAUUUGGUUCGUUUGGCAAGGUGAGAAAACGUUAAAAACGGGUGGUUUAUUUUCUUGGUCGGUGGAGAGGCCUCUUGAAUAAGGUUGAUCGGAAAAAGGUAUGGUUAGAGAAAAAAAUAACACGGGGUGACAUUAUGGCGUUGGAGUUCAAUCAGGUGGCUUUGGAUGUGGCCGGGGUAGGUCGUUGAUCCGUGAUAAGUCAAGAUGUGAAUGAACGGUGUUCCAACGUUAUGCCAUGUUACAUGUCACGGGCGUGGUGUUUUUAUUCGGGUUGAUCCGAGACAUUGGACGUGAUCGAGGUGAAGAUCGGGUGUCCGUUAGAUGUCAUAGUGGUUUGAAACCGAGGUGAUUCGGUGCUACAGUGAACGGUUCAAACAAACACCGAUUAAGGGGGUGAAUGUUGGGUUAAUCGGGUUUGGUUCGCGGGUCACAUGGGUCGGCACGUUAUCGAGUCACGGUUAAAAUGGUUAAUUGAUCACGGUUCAGCAGAUUAAUAUAUGGGUCACAAGUCAUUAGUGGUUUGCAAGUUAACAUACUUGGUCAGAGUUGACCGAACUUGUUGCUGAUAAAAAGGAAAACGUGGAUGGACUGAGUUUUAAUCAUUCAUGUGUUGGAUCCUGUAA
rnacentral:lncRNA from 1 species